rnacentral:rRNA from 1 species
AUUGAACGCUGGCGGCAUGCCUUACACAUGCAAGUCGAACGGCAGCACGGGUGCUUGCUCCUGGUGGCGAGUGGCGAACGGGUGAGUAAUACAUCGGAACAUGUCCUGUAGUGGGGGAUAGCCCGGCGAAAGCCGGAUUAAUACCGCAUACGAUCCACGGAUGAAAGCGGGGGACCUUCGGGCCUCGCGCUAUAGGGUUGGCCGAUGGCUGAUUAGCUAGUUGGUGGGGUAAAGGCCUACCAAGGCGACGAUCAGUAGCUGGUCUGAGAGGACGACCAGCCACACUGGGACGGGGACACGGCCCAGACUCCUACGGGAGGCAGCAGUGGGGAAUUUUGGACAAUGGGCGAAAGCCUGAUCCAGCAAUGCCGCGUGUGUGAAGACGGCCUUCGGGUUGUAAAGCACUUUUGUCCGGAAAGAAAUCCUUGACUCUAAUACAGUCGGGGGAUGACGGUACCGGAAGAAUAAGCACCGGCUAACUACGUG